rnacentral:lncRNA from 1 species
ACCUCAUUUCCCUUUACCUUAAGGAAAUAUGGGAACCCUUGAUCCACACAUACAUGCAUACACAAUCACACAUGAUCUGUAUCUUAAACCCUGUGAAUUUCAUGAAUCAACAAGCAAAUAUUAACCACGUACAAGCCAAGAUGAAGGUUUUAUUUGAAAAAUAUAACGACUGCAAAUCCAUUAAAUUUUGUUGGAAAAUCCUCCAUCUGUCGGAUUCAAUCAGGAAAAGGUAAUCUGCAAGACAAUUUCGGAGUGGCAUUCAGACUGCUGGUUAAUUUCCUGAAUACCAGGAGACUAUUUGACAUUGAUUUACACUCUACCAUGCAAGAAAAAUGAAUGUAACAAGCGAGCCUACCCAAGUGUAAGAAAAGAAGAAUAGUUGUCGUAGUCCUGACGAGGAUUUGCUGAGUUGCUGCUGAUAUUGUUCACCAUAGAAUCUGAUGACUGGCCUUGUUCGAGCAAAUGCCCUUGGCCCUUUGACAAACUCAUUAACUGCCGAAAAAUAUAUGAACUCAAAGUGAGAGGGAGUAACAAGAAGGAGCUGAAAAUUAAUAAUAGGUCUCAUAGUCUCACUCUCUGCUUCAAUCGCUGGUUCUCUUCUAUUAGUUGGUGCUCCUGCAAAUUAGCAAACAAGAAGGAAAAUUGAAUCACAGAGAGUACUGAUCAUGAAAAUCGUUUGAUUGUUCAAAACAACAUGGUAACCAUGCAUAUCAGUUCAUGCACAUCAUAUGGGGCUUCAUGUACAGUAAUUUUCACAAACUUUGCAUGAAUAUUUUAUUUUUUCUCAUUGUUAAAAGUAGUGAAGUGACCUUGGACUUGAGAGCAUCGACCUCCUUUAGAAUUUUUUCUCCCUGAAACACAUUGAAGUAGUUGAAACAUGUGUGUGAGGUAUUGAACAAAGUCUUCAGCGUAUAUAUACAGGACAGAACUAUCUACAAGAAUUAAGACAAGACAAGAGUGCUGCAUGAAUUACCUUUGUUUCUAUGACACGACACAAGCUUUUUUCAAUUAAUUUUUCUAAUUUUUCUAAUUCUUCCAUGUUCAGUCCCUGCAGGUCUUCUCCCCUUGUUCGCCUGUCAUCAGUGGAUCAUCAUAUGUAUCAGCAUUGCAAAUUGGAAUGUGAUCUAUUGCGGCAACAAGUUAUUGAUCCUGAGAUUUUACCUCAGUUCACGGGUUUUCUCUGCUAUUUCCUUGUUCAACAUGGCAUGCACAGCACUAUCAAGCUUAAAGGACAGAAACGAAUAUUGCCUUUAUUAAUACAUGACCAUGGUAUCUUAUGGAAUUUAUAAAGUUAGAUUCUUGAACCUAAUUCGAAGUGUUUGAGUGAAAGAAGAGGAAAAACAAUGUUACGAAAAGGUAGCCACGCACUUAUCAGAUAAUUUACUCACCAAUCCAAUAUUAAUCAGCAAGAGCGAAAAAGGAAUAUAUAUAUAAACAAUCUUGAUGGGGGUUUCAAAUUCAAUAUAACUUGAUAAGCUACAGUAUAAAAACUAAUUACCUGAAGCUCAACCGAUGGUUGACUAAAUGUGUCAAGGUUUUUGGGAUGCAGAUUACGCCUUUCUAUCACUUGCCCAAUGCUUCAAGAACAAAAGGUAGAGCAAAUCAUUUCUUGAAUUUUCAUGUCCAGGAAUAGGCAAAAACUAGCUAAAAACAGUGCCAAUGGUGGGAUGUUUCCAGGAUCACUUGUAAUUGCUAGCAGCUAUGAUUCUUCCCAAAAGGACUCACCAAGAUGUAAAGAAACAAUCAACCUGAGAGGAAGGGUAGAAAAUUUGCUGCUGCUAUGGCAACAGUAAACCUCUAGAAAAAAAUGCUGCUACUAUUACAACAACAAACCACAAAACCUAAAAAAGAUGGGCCUACCCAGAAAGUUGGCAAACCCUGACGAGCAAAACAAGAUCCAAACAGAAAAUGAAGAAGAUUGGACAGAUUUUCAACAGCAACAGUCAUUGCAUGAAAGCCACAAUAAAACCAGAAUUGCACCAGCAGAAAUUAAUAGGGACACAAAGUGCUAAGAUUCGCCAUUGAAGUUUUGAUAAAAAAACAGGAGGUAACUGAACACAAGACCAAACAGCAGCUAUGCAAAGACACAGAUGAAGAUUGCAGGAGCCAGAAAGCAGAAGAAUCUGAGAAAGGAUGACCUAACAACAGCAAAAAGGAGACAGAAACAGCAGAAACCAAGAAGCAGCAAUAACUAGCCAUAAAAUGUCAGGAGAAAGAAGUAGAAUCCAUGAUCUCUCGACAUACACACACCAAAACACCCUAAUUUAUAAAUCUUAAAACAACCAAAUUAUAUGAUGAAUUGAUAAAACCUUUUGUUUGAUAGAGAAUACAUCACUGAUAUUGGCUAAAACCUUUACGAGCAGCCUCCAAUCACAAUUGUUUCCCAGGUACCAAAUAUUCAAUAAACCCUAAUGUCAAAGAGAACACCAAUAACAAACCCUAUAUAUACAUACAAAGAAGCUUAGGGUGAUAACUUGAUUUAACAAUAACGAACCCUAAUAUCAUAUUGGUCACUAGAGAACUAUCCUUAUCAUUACAAAGAUUUAUUACCCUAUCAAAAGCUCAAAUAAUGUUAUACUAAUCUAGACCUGUUUAAAUGAAGAAAUGUAUAAUAUUAAAAUCUAGAUCUAUAUAAAGUAACAUCAGGAAGAUCAAAGAUGGUAUUGUAUCAACAAAACUAUAGGAAACACUUCUAUAUCAUGCGGUUUUCUAUGAUCUUAAGUUACUUAAAUCUUAAACAAUUUGGAACAGUAGAAUAACAAGAGGAUCUAAUCACAAAAGAAUCUCAAGAACAAAAGCUAGAAAAAUCCAAAAAUUAUUGCAUUAGGCGAGAAAUCAUCCUUUUCAUCGCAAAGCAAAGUAUUUAAUAGUAUACCCGAAUAUCCAAGAAGAUAAUCCUAUACUUAUGUAUAGUAAGAAUUGUGUAUCUGGUAGCUUAGUGAAGCAGCUUUUCAAGUGUCAGUAAUUCUAAUUUAUGUGGUUAUUAUUAUGUAAUUGGAGAUGAAUAUUCAUUGUAUAGCCUAAGACUCCAUAGACCUCUCGAUGAACCAAAAGAGAAAGAAAGAAAGAAAAUUCUAUUUUAUUACAAACUAGUGUUCUUGUGCAACUCGUGCCUACAAAGAUUAAAUCCACUUUCUUCUUAAAAACUAAACCUCUUUUAUAUUAAACUAGAAUAUUCAUGAGAAAUCACAUAUCUUUGCAUCCCAAUUGACAAUAUGGGUGUAGGAGUGGAGAUGGAGUUUGGUAGGAUAAUGAGAUCUCAAAGUUCGUCGACAACCAAGCUCAACUUAAGGUGAUUCUAAAUCUUACUUACGGUAUAAGUACUUCUAAUCUUAUUUAUAAAAAUAGGAUAUUUUCUGUCAUGUAGUAUCUAAAUUAUGUAUGUCAUUUUAUUUUUAAGUUUUUGUCAAAAUUAAUUGUUUAUAAAAUUAAGAAAAUGUAGGCUUCUCUUUGUUUACUUUCUUCCUUCAAAAGCUAGGGUUUGUAUGAUUUCUAUUGCAAUCUCUAUUAUAAAAAAAAUAAAAUUAAUUAGGAUGUUUGUAGUGUUAUUUCAUUUUCUAAUAUUUUAUAAGUCAAUAUUAACCUUCAAGCAAUAUCCUUUUACAUGACCAAUUGUCUAUGCUAUUCGAGUAAAUAAACGGGUCUUGCAUAUCUUUCACAAUCCAACAUAUUAUUAUUAUUUGAUGAAAUUAUACAUAUAUAAAUAAAAGAAGUAAGCUAGUUAAAAGAUUUACACUAUUUAAUUAAACAAAAAUAAAAAAAUCAAUACAUCAAAGUGUUUCAAUCACUAGGUAAGGAUUUUAUUUAAAAGGUUGAUAUAAAAAAGAAGCAUUUGAACACGUGAUUCACGACCAUCCUAUAUAAGCAUUAGAAAAAAAAAAGAAGAAGAAUGUCACUAGUAUAUCAAGAACAAGCAACUAGCUUGCUUACAUUUUUAAUCUAUUAAAAAAAAACAAGAAAAUCUUUGGAUAAGUUAUAAUGUUUUGAAAAGGGUUUUCUAUUUAUUAUUUUGAUUUCUACAUUUAAAUUUCUUAUUAUCAGAAUUUUUUUUAGGGUUUAUAAUGUACUCACAAACUAGAAUAAAAAUCAUUUUAUCCGAUUCCUAUUAUUUUUUAUCAAGUUUCAUUAAUUACAAGAUAUUAUAGAUAACUUGGGCAACUAGCAUAUUGUUAAGUUAAUUUAAUAUUUUUAGAUUAAUUGAGAUACACAUGUAUUGAGUUUAUAUUAACUAGAUGAUGUUUAAACUUUCUUUUAUGUUAUUUGAUGUUUAAAACUUUGAAUUUUUUAAACAAAGCUUUAUAUAACAUCAAAAAUAUUUAUGAUAUUAGUUGGUUGUUUAUGUAACUAAAAAAUUCUUUAUUAUGAAAAAAUAAGUUUAAAACUAUCUUAUAUAAAAAAUUACAAUUCUAAUUUGACAAAACAAACUCCGGGAAAUUGACCCCUUUUCUCAUUUAUAUAUGUCUAGGCAUGGUUUAACAAAGUACUCACGGAAUAGGUUAAUUUGGAAAUAAAUAAAAAAAGUAAUGUAACAUUUAGUAUAAAAAUAAAAUCUUCUAUAAGUAAACUUUGAAGUUAAAAUGAAUAAAAAUGUAUUAAUAAAUAAAAAUCUAAUCAAUUUGCAUUCUUUAUCUCGAUUCUAAUUAAAGAAUAUAAUAAACAAAAUAUUAUAAAGCACCAACCAAUUUUAUUCGGAUAUGAGCAAUAUAAUAAAUUUAUUAUUAAAUAGUUGCAAUAAUAAUAAUAAUAAAAAGCCUAACACAACACACUUGAGGGUCAAAAAGGCAUUAAUUGUGUAUAACUUUCACCAAUAAAGAACCUACCAGCAUUUCUACCUAAAUAUUGGAAAUUUAGUAUAAAUGCCAAUAAACAUGCACAUUAAUCACAAUUAUUUAAAACGCCAUGAUUAUUAUGAUCUAAAGGGAGAAUGAUUUAUAUAUAUAAAUACCUUGUUAUACUUAAUUUUCAUAUAAAAUAUUAAUGAGUGAAUAUUGUCAUAUUUAUUUUACAUGAGAAGUUUGUAUGGAACUAAUCCAUCAUUAGUUCCAUAUGGUUAAUAAAAAUUAAAUAUUUAAACUUAAUAAAAUUACGAAGCAUUGAUAAUUUUAUUUUGUUUUAAAUAUUUUCAAAAAUCUUUUAAAUUCUACAAAAUUAUUAAAUGAUGAGAAAUUUUUAUUAAACAAGUUAGUUUUUUUAGUUAUCCUUGGCCUAUGCAUUCCUUUAGAGAAAACUUCACUUCUAGACAUAGUUGGCUUAAAUUAAGGGUCACAAAAUUAUAUUCGUCAAUUAUACUUUAUGAAGUGAAGAUUGUCCCUACUUAACAAAAGACUUGGAGUACAAAAUAUUGCCCAGGGCUUCACUUGUCAGACAUACAUAAAAAAUAUUAAUAAAUAAGUAUUUUAAAAUACUUCAUUUAUAGUUUUAUUCAAGGUCCCUAUUCACCUUAAUUCGGCUUUGCUUUUAAACCCUAAUGUAUUAUCUAAUAAUCAAUUGCAUUUUGAAACCUUUUUUUUUUUUUUUUAUCAAUUAUGCCAUUAAAGCAUCCAAAAUUAGACAAUGUUAUCAUUCAACCUUCUGGUAUUAAUAGCAAUUAAAAGAAUUUAUCCAAUUUGCAUAUAUUUGUUAGGUGUUUCCAUCCAAGAAGCUAAAAUAAGCUCAAAUCGUUUUUAAUGGACAAUCAGAGUAAACUUUAUCCGAUUUUGCUUAUAUAAAGUUCAAAGUACUGAAUUGCUAUGAAAUUAAAGUUCAAUUUGAUUUAAAAUUCAAGAUAAUUUUCGAUAAUUUAACCAAUCUAGAAAAAAGAAAUAAAUGAAGUGAUAAGUAUUUCUAGGCUGAAAAGGAUACUCUAAAUCAUUCUCAGUGCUAAACAUCCUGCAUCAACAAAAAAUAAAUAAGUAAUCAUAAAAAUAAUUAAAAAAAAUUAAAAAAAUGUUAUAUCAUGUGAUGGUCCGCGAUAAAUAGCGCUAAAAAUAAAGGUUAUCAAAUAUAAAUCUUGCAAGAACACAAAAAUAAAUAAAUAAAUCAUUGUUGAUACUAAACAUCUUGCAGGAAAAAACACUAAAAAAUCAUAAAAAUAAAAAAAUAAGAUGUUAUUUCAUAUGAUGCUCCCUUUGCUAUAAAUGGUGUUGAAAAUAAAAGUUAUCAAAUAUAAAUCUAAUUAUCAUCUUGGGUGUAACUUGAAUUACUGAAUUAGGCAAGACCAGAGCAUAAUUUCAAGUCAUAAUUUUUUAUAUAAGAUAGUUUUAAAUUUAUUUUCCAGAAUAAGGUAUUUUUAGUCAUAUAAACCAACCAAUAUGAUCAAAACAUUUGAUGCCACAUAAACCAUAGUUUAAAUAAUUCCAAGUAUUAAACAUCAAGUAAUAGACAAGAAAGUUUUAAACAACAUCUAGUUAAAAUAAAUCUACUAUGUAUAAGCAUCUCAAUUAAUCCAAAAAAUAUUAAAUGAACUUGGCAAGAUGUUAGUUGCUCAAAUCAUAUACAACUUCUUAUAAUUAAUGAAACUUGAUAAAAAAAAAAUAGAAAUUGUAUAAAAUUAUUUUUUAUUUUGGCUUAUGAAUAUAUUAUGAGUUCUAAAAAGUUCUAAUAACAAGAAAAUUUAGAUGUAGAGAUCAUAUAUACAAUAAAGAAUAACAAAUGGAAAACCCUUUUCAAAACACUUUAUCUAAAAAGUUGUUUUUUUUUUUUUUAUAUAUAUAUAGAAAAUAAAGACUAAAAAUGUAAACAUAGUAGUUGCCAAUUCUUGAUAUAUAUACUAGUAACAUUUUUUUUCCUAACGCUUAUAUAGAGUGGUCAUGAACAUAAUCACGAGUUUGAAUGAUUGUUUAUAGCAACUUUUUAGAUAAAUUAAGUUUUUAUCCAGCGGUCCAAACACUUUGUUAUAUUAACUUUUUAUUUUUGUUUAAUUAAGCAGUGUAUCUUUUAACUAGCAUCAAAUAGAUUUGAUAAAUAAGAUUAGAAGUAAUCUGAUAAAUAAGAUUUGUUAAUUUAAGAGAAUAAACUUCAUUUUCUCCUUUAUUUUUUCUUAAAUUCAUAAUAAUAUCUUGUAAUACUUAGAAGUAACAGUAAAGCCCAAGACUUUCCUUUUUCUUAAAUAAUAUAAUUUCAAUGAUAAUCCUUACACUUGGAAAUUAAAUUUCUAUAAACAUAUGUAAAGUUUGUUUAGAUCUUAAAACCAGAUUCAUCAGUAAUAUCACCAUAUGAUGGGAGCAGGAGAUUGAAUGUAAGUGAACCAGCAGGAAAUUAAUCACAUCCAGCUGGUAAUUUAUUUUUAACCUAUUGUGUCAAGAACGUACUUGCAUAUAUUCAACUUUGUCUUACAAUUUCUAUUGCAAUAUGUCAAUGUGUUUAUCAUGAAGGAUGCAUUAUCAACCACCUUUAUAGUAAAAGCAAAUUUUGAGCAAAACACAUUUUUAUUCUGCAGGGACGUAAAAAUACUGUACGCAGAACAUAUUAAGAAACAAGAUGCUCUGAAAGAACGUGGUUUUUUCUUCAUCAGGGCUAUGGUUGUAUACUGGUUUUACCUUCCCUCUCAGUGUUGUUAAUGAGCCUAUGUGAUGAAUGAUUCAUUUUCGACUCUAUACAUUACUCUUCUAGGGUUUAUGACGGUCAUAGUUGAUGUUGCUCUGUGAUUUGAAGAGAUGAAAACGAUAUGUAAAUAUUGAAAAAGAAAACACAUUAAUUUUAAUACAUGAUUAUCAAUUAGCAAAUGGGACUUCAUUUAAUUGGAUGGAUUAUAGAGUGGCGAGCAGUCUUGUUAUUAUUUCCCAGUGCUAGAUAACUUCCCUUUUAGGUUAAAGUUUCUUCUUUUAUUACAAAAACUCGACCCUGAGACCUCUUGAGGCAGGAGGAACAUGGGUGCAUUUGAGCUACCAAUUCAAGGGGUUUUUUUUUUCUUUGUUAUAAACAAGAGGUUGAAACUCAAUAUUUUUUUGUGAAGAAGAUAGAACUCUAGCACCAGUACAGUUGAAAUUAAACAUUGCAAGAAAAGAAGAAACCUAUAUAUGCUUCUUCUUCUUCUUCUUCUUCUUAAUUUGUUUCCUUAAUAAAUGCUGGCUGCAGUUGACCUUAUGAUCAUAUAGAUUUCCUAAGAGUAAGUAGGACUAAAGCUAGGCUCUCCCAAACCAGUCAACAGAUGAUCAUUUGUUCUUGUAACUAAAUGCUGGGAGAAGGAGAAGAAAAGGCAGUGUCUAGGGUUAAUGUAAGCAAGUGACCACUCUUUGCACAGAUGAUGAGCUAUUGAUGCUAGAUGAUCAAUUCAAUACCAGUUAGGUUACUAUUUACUAAGUGACAGAAGACUGUCUAUUGAUGUUAAGACAAGGUUUUUUUUUUUAUUUCGAUUUUGAUUUUCUUCCCUGCAAACCUUACAUGUAAUUAACACUAUGAUACAAGUCACUUCAACUUAAGAGCUCACACAUCAUUUCGGAGCAAUUGUAAUCAAUGGUCUGUACAAAGAAUAGAUUCAGGUUGUACUAUUAGCUAGGGGUAUUGAGGUUUCAUAUUUUGCCCUUGAGUUUUCUAGGGUAUGAAGGCCUUGCAUUGUGUAGUUGCCCUAUAUUUUAUGAGCACAUCCUUAGACUAGGUAGUGUUUCUGGGGGCAUAGAGGGUAGCAAAUCCAACUUAAUAAAAGUAGUGGCUUUGAUCUCUAAUCGCAGAAGUGCAAGUCUUUCUGGUUCAAAAUAGACAUUAUAAGCGUACAAGAGAAGCCAUUAAAACAAGCCUGUUUGUUUUUGCGGCGACAAUACAUUCGUUGUAGACCGCAAUAAAAACAUUAAAUUGAGAUUUUACUACAGUGCACCAAGCGGUACACUAGAGAAACAAGCAUACCCUAGACCACAAGCAAUUCAAGUUUCAACACCAGCAUUAAGAAAGACACAAGUGGACGUGUGAUGCCCUUAAAAAAGGAUUUGAACUAGCAAUAAGUGGCAGCAAUAACAUCAAAACCUUCGUAUCAGUACCAACUUCUCCCUAUGCUCCUCUCCUCGAAAAAAUAUUAUUUUGCUCGCAGAUACCAAAAGAUUCUCUAUUGCACAUCUAUUUCAGCCAUUCUCUUCUUUUUUCAACUUUGUUGGGUUCAAAAGAAACCGUUGUUAAUGCAUCCUAGGUUGAUCAUUGAGCUCACAGAUGACAUAAUAUUUAUGGUAUAUCAUAAAGUGGAAAAUAAUAAGAAAGAGAAAGGGAGCAGAACCUUGAGUUUGAGUACUCAAAAAACUUUCCAGUUGCAGAAAACACCAUGAGAGCAAUCUCAGCGUCACAUAGAAUUGAGAGCUCGAAAGCUUUCUUGAAGAGCCCUCUUCUCCUCUUUGAGAAACUGACUUGCCUUGCACUUGUGUUGUCUAUCUUCUUGAUCUGGAUUUUCUUGCGAGCCAUCUUCCCCAAGAAACAAAUUCAGCUCACCCUUCAUGCAAAAUCAACCAAGAUAAUUAAGCACAUACUGCUAAAAAUAAAAUUUCUAAGAGAAAGAGAUUUAGACCUAAUGGUAUAUCUCAUUAAUGGAGGGCCUUAUCAAUGUUUACAGAGAGAAAAAUCAAAUACCCUUGACAUAAAAUGAGAAAAGGCAUGCAUCAAACAACCUCAACAAGUAUAUUUACAAGCAAAUCAAAUUUUUUUUACUUACAUCCACGCAAACGUAUUAUAUUUUUUAAAAUAAAAUAUAAACAGAUUUUUUUACAAACAAGAAGAAGAAGAUAGAAUGUUCAAAAAAAGAAAAAAAAGAAAAAAAGAAAAUCUAGCCACUACCUUUACCUUAAAACGUACAUCAAUUGAAUCGUUGGAGUGACAUUAAUGAAUAAUACUACUGGAUCAUGAUAGCAAGAAAUCAAGAACAGAUCUUUAAUUACAGGAAAUUAUCAAGCCGCCAUCAACCACAAAAGAAAGGGGGGAAAAGUACAAUCACAACACAGCCAAAUUUACUAAGAGGAUUUACAUGUACAUGGAAAAUUAACAAAAGAAAAUCAACUCGCUUUAAUAAAAGCGAAGGGAAAAUUUAGUAAAAGAAACUAAAGAAAAAAUAAUUAGUACAGCACCGAGCAUUUCUGUAAAUAGAAAUGUAGAGAAGCUGACUCAGUGAUAAAACAAGGGAAAAAAAAGAGAGAAGAGAAAAGUUUUGCCAGAUUAAGCCAAGAAUCUUGAACAAUCUAAAACAACCCUAGCUGGUAAUGCCAAGAACUCAAGCUGACACUGAAGUUUGUAAGAAAUGAGUGAGCUUGCAAGGAUUGGUAAGAAAUCUUUGGUUUCAGUUCUUCUUACCUAUUUCUAUGUUGUCUUUCUUCUGGUGCUGUUUACACCUCACAGAAAACCAAAGUCAAGUCCACCAGUGAUGUUUAGAGAUAGAAAAGGAAAAGGAGGCUAACAGAGAGAUCUUCUUAACCUUGGUUGCAGGAAAAGAAAGAUACCUUUUAUGGCCAAGCAAGAAGUCACACUGUGCAAUUCUCUCCAAAUGGUUAAGCAGAAAAAAGGCUCAAAGGAGAAUGUAAGGAGAUAUAAAACUAUAUCUUUCUUCUUCUUUUUUGGAUUUUGUAGCUAUUUCCAUUUGAGUAAAGCACUAAUAAAGUGAAAAUAUUUAAACGGGACUUUAUUUAUUUAUUUAUUUUUAUGGUGAGAUUUGCUUUCCGUACAGAUAUAGCGUCUCUUCAGCACUGCUUCGCUGGUUAGAUUUAACACUAACAGUCUAACACCACCGCCUCUGUUCCCUCGUACUAAUAGCGUCACGUCAGUUUAUCUUUUAGGUAGGAAGAACAAAUUAAGCUCUCUCUCUCUCUCUCUCUCUCUCUCUCUCUCUCCUUAAAUAAUAUGUAUACCAUUCUCUUUUAUAUUUUAUGAUACUGAAUGAUAAUUAUUGGAUAUUUAAGAGUUAUAGAUAAAAAAAAAAGUGAAAAAAAUCAUAUAUGAUCUAAUUAAAAAAUAAUAUAAAAUUUCUUUUUAUUAUUUUUUUCUUUUAUUUUUCUUUUUCAUAUAUAUAUAUGAUGAAUGCUAUAAUUUUUUUUAUUGCUAUAAUCUACUACCUUCAAUGAAUUUAAAAAUAUUAUAUUUAUUUUCACGUAUUACUAGUUUAAUUAUUUUUAUAAAUUUUAGAAUUAUUAAAAAUUUAUAUAAUUAUUAAUUUUAGAAUCUAUAAAAUUAGUGAAAUAACCCGAAUAUAUAUGUUAAUAAAAAAAAUUGUACUCCCUAUGUAUCGUAUUUAUUAUCCCUCCACAUUGAAUUCCAAAAGUAGUAAUUUUAAUUGACUUUUUCUAAUUAGUUUUAAUGUUUAAAAAAUUCAGAAAUUUUCUUAAGAGUUUUCAAGUUUCCAUUUCUUAUAAAGGCAGAAAUUACUCAAAAAUAUAUUAUAUUUAUUGAUAUUUGAAAAGUCGAAAUGGCUGAUAAAUGGCUGGAGCAUGGAAUUUUAUUAUCAAUUUAUUUACGUGAAAUACUUAUCUAAUAUUUUAAAUUUAUUCAGAGUUAAAUUUAUUACGGCAUAUACAGACAUGGUAUUUUAUAAAUAGAUAUGAAAAAAAUAUUUUAAAAUAUAAAAAAGCUUGAAUUAAUAAAAAGAGAGUCGAUGUUACUUAGUUGUUAAUUAAAUUCACACAAAAAAUUAUCAAAUUAAUGUUUGUUAUGGUUUUAAUGUUCCGAAGUUAAAUAUUAAAAAUAUAUUAAAAAUAUAUUUUUUUUAUAUUUUUAAUUGAAAAACAUUUUUAUAAAAGCAUAUUGCACCGCAUUACGAAGCAUAUACUAAGAGCCUGAUUGUUUUGUGUUUUAAAAAUAUUUUUUAAAAUAUUUAAUUUUUUUUGUUUUUUUCUUGUUUCAAAUUAAUAUUUCAAAGUGUUUUCAUAUUUUAAUGUCAAAAAUAAAUUUUAAAAAAUAAAAAAAAAUAUUAUUUUAAUAUAUUUUUAAAUAAAAAGCACUUCUACUACAGUACCAAAUAGAAUCUAAAUAGAAAGUAACAACCUAUACACUCCUUAAAGAAUUAGUAUCCAACCUUUAAGAUGUUGUUAAUGAGUCCAGUUGGUUUUAUUUUACUACAAUCGUGUAAUGUAACAUGGGAUUAAAUUGAUGGAUUGAGGAUAAUAAAGAAACGAUUAUAGAAUGAAGGGAUUCCAUGCAAGGACUGGGAAGAUUUAUAAACAUUGCAAAAUAAUAAUUAUUUUAUUUAUUAAUAUAGGUGUUCGGUCCAGUUUAUACGCAUCUCAACUAAUUCUAUAAAUUCUGAAAUUAAUAACAAUGUAAACCUCAGUAGUUAUAUUUGAAUGGACAAUUGCAACAUAUUCAAUCUCAAUUGAGAAUAUUACUGACCAUAAAAGAAAAAAAAAAGAGAAAUAAAAUAAAUAUGGUUCUAAAGAGCUUAAAUUUUGAGUUUGAGUAUGAUCGUUAAUCGGUAACCAAACUGAUGUAGUGUAAUUAAACUUCAAAUAAAGAUUAAUCACCAUCGCAAUACUGUAAAAACUUGUGAAUUUACAAAUCCAAAUUACUAAAAUAUUAUUUUAAUCAAAACCCAAUUUUUAAUUACUGUUACUAUUAUUAACUAUUACUGUUAAUACCGCUAAUAAUACUAAAAGAUCUGGGGUUGGUCACUGUUCAUAAUAUAUAUAGUGCUUUUUAAAAAGAAAAUUUCUCUUUAAUUUUUUUUUAUAAUUUUAUCCAUGUUAAAUUAGCAUGAUUCUUUAUAUUAAGAUUAAAGGGAUAUUUUUAUUAUGAAUUGAAGUUCAAUUUUACAGAAUAAAACUGUAUUUAUAAUAGAAAAAAAAUAUAAAAAUUAAAAAAUUAAAUACAUUGUUCGAGAUAAAAUAUGUGUGUGUAUUAUUUCGAGGGAAAUUUUAUAAUGCUCUAAUGAUAAAUAUUUGAUAUUAAAGAGUUAUAGAUUAAAAAAAGUGAAAGAAAUCAUAUAUGAUCCCAUUAAAAAAUGAUAAAAAAUUAUUAAUUAAUUUUAAUUUUAAUUUUUCUCUUUGAUUUUUCUUUUUUCAUAUAUAUAUCUCUCUUAUAUAUUGGUGAAUACUAUAAUUUUUUGGGUGAUUGUUAUAGCCAACUACCUUUAAUAGAUUUAAAAAUAUUGUACUCCCUGUGCACCAUGCAUAUUUAUGACCCUCUAUCGAAUUUGAAAAGUCAACAGAUUCUAACUUUGAUGGACUCUUUUAAUUAGUUUUAAUGUUUGAAAAAUUAAGAUUUUUUUUUAAAAAAAAAUACAAGUUUCUAUUUAUUAUAAAGGAGAAAAAAUAUUCAAAAAUAUAUUACAUUUAUUGACCUUUGAAAAGUCAAAAUGGCUGAUAUCAUUUUGUUUAGCCCUCAAACAUUUUCAUUCGUAAUUUUAUCCACCUAGAUUAAAUAUGCAUAGUUCUUAUGUUAAGAUUUUUUUAAUUUGUAUUUUAUCACAGAGACAAAUAAAACUUUAUUUGUAGUAAAAAUAAAAAUUAGAAGAAAAUGAUCAAAAUUAAUAAUAAUAAAAAAGAAACAUAUAUGAUUUUGAUAUUGUCUUGUAAAAGUUAAAUAUGCUCCAAAUAAUUUUCAGUUUUCAAUGUUGUGUUGUCCCUGAUUGUAGAAUUUCACAUUUCAAUCUCAAUCUUCAUUUGUUUUUCGUUUUUAAAAAUGUUUUUUAUUUUAAAAUAUAUUAAAACAUUUUUUUUUAUUUUUAAUCUCAACACAUAGAAUUAUUAAAAAAUACUAAAAAUAUAUUAAAUUAAUAAUUUUUUAAAAUAAAUACAUUUUUAAACACACAUUAUCAUUGAAUGGGCUCUUAAUUGGGCCACCCUCUUUUCAUUCAAUAUUACUUUUUUUUAUCUAAGGAUUUUGCCGCUUAUAGUAUAUUUUAAUUGCAUAUAUGUUAUUCAGGUUUUUACUAUAUUGAUACACAUAUUUAUAUUUAAAAUAGAUAUUUAUGUUAUAUCCAUUAUUUAUUAAAUAAGAAAUUUAAUUAUUCAUGCAUUACUGAUAAAACUUUGGGUAAUGAAUACUUAUUACUUAGAUUAUAUAUAUAAAACUUUGGGGGAGGAAAUUAGUGUUGCUAGAGAAUAACUUUUUUAUUAUGGUUAUGGUGCUAAAGAAUAACUUAAAAAAAAAAAAAUCAAAAGAUUUGAGUCUCCGUUUUAACUCAGGUUGGAAGCAAGGCUGAAAGUUAAGAUUAUUUUAAAAGAAUUUUUAUUGGUGAUUCAUGUGAAUUUGUUAUGAAGUAAUUUGCGACAACUCAAUCUUUAAAAAAUCAUUCAAUAUCAAUAUAUGUGUUGGGGUUAGAUUUAGAUUGGGUUUUAGGUUGAAUUUAUUGAUAUUAUUAUCUUAUCGGAUAAGAAUUUUAGAUAUUUAUAUUAACCUAAAAUAAUAAUUAUUUUAAAAAAAUAUUACUCAUUUAGAUUUAUUUGGAUUUGGAUUAAAAUUGUCAUUCCAAAAUAUCAAGUAAAUAUGCACUCCUGAAAUAUGUUUCUUUAAAAUCAUUUGAAAAUAAAAUUUAAUUUUAAUUAACAUAUAUUCAAGCUUCAAGAAAUCAUGUAUCAAACUAAAAAAAAAAAAAGCAUGUUUGCAUGCUAAAAUAUAUGUUUCGAUGUAAAAUACAUUAAUGUGGAUUUGCUGCCUACGUACAAUAUAGAUUUUUAAGGGUGAUUUCUCAUAAAUUUUCUAUUUCUAAAUAUUAAUGGUUAUUAUUUUUUUAUUGCUCGAAAAAGAUGAACCUAAUGUCAUUGUUGAAAGCAGACAAAAACUUUCCGACUUGUGUAGAAGUAAAGAUUUUCUUGGUUCACCACAGAAUAAAAGAAAUCAAAGAAAACUUUCCGACUCUCAUUUAAAUAUUUUUAUACCUAGUUAAGGUCAUUGCUAAGUAACUUGAAAUUAUUAUCGGAUAGAAGUUGGGGUUGGAGGAGUUUGAUGAGUGAAUCCGAGAAGUUGAUGUUAAAUUACGUUUGGGAUCAUGUAUAAAAUGUUUUUUAAUUAAAAAUAUAUUCAAAUAAUAUUUUUUAAAAAUUUUAUUUUUAACAUCAACAUAUUAAAACUAUAAAAAAAUUUAAAACAAAUCAAUUUGAUAUUUUUUUCAAGUAAAAAACACUUUAAAACACAAGUUAAACCAUAAGGUAUGAAGAUUUUAUUGUCAAAUCAGUUGUUAAGUGAAAAUGAAUAGUUCAUCAAGUGAAUACUAUUUGAGUUUGAAAUUUGUUUAUAUAUACGCCACACUAUAUUGUGUUUAAAUUUUUAUUAAUUAGAAUGAAAAUAAUAAAAUUUAAACUUGUAACUACUUGGUCAAUAAAAUUCUAAUAUUAUUUCAAAAAACUAUUUUAAUCAAAUAACUUAACUUGUUAUGUGAAAUCUCAAGAAUUAUUUUACAUUACUCUAAUGUUUUCAAGACUAGUACAUGUUGGUUUGUAAAUAAUUUGUGGUUUACUUUUUUUUUUAAAUAUUGUUUUUGUUUUGGGGUAACAGUGUUUUUUUUUUGUUUUAUUUAUAAUGAACGAUGAUGAUGGUGUUGGUGUUAUUGAUGUUUUUUAUUUUAAUUGAUAAUUUGUAUUAAAUGUAAUUUUUCUUUGUAUAGUUAAUGGUGCAAUGUUAUUGUUAAAUAUGUUGUUUUACAUAAUUAUAAGUUUUUUUUUUACGUUAUUUUUAUACUUAGUUACGAUGAUUGCUAAGUGACUUCAAAUUAUUAUCAUAUAGAAGUUGGGGUUGGAGGAGUUUGACGAGUACAUUCAAGUAAAUGAUGUUAAGUGUAUGUUUGAUAAUGCAUAUAAGAUAUUUUUCAAGAAUUGUUUAAUUAAAAAUAUAUUUAAAUAAUAGUUUUUAGAUUUUUUUUUUAAUAUCACCAUAUUAAAACCAUAAAAAAAUAUGAAUGUUAUUGUUAAAUAUGUGGUUUUUACAUAAAUUUAGGGUGAAAUAUAUUAUAAGAAAUUUUUUUUUAGCUAUUUUUUUUGCCUGCAUUUAAGGAAUACUUUGUAAAUAUGGGAUUUGUGGAAGAUUUUGAAGAAGUUGUUUAAGUUUAUCAAGCAUUUGGGAUGAACUGUACAGGUUUUGCUUGUUCUCUUUAUAAGAAAAAAAAAAGAAUAAAAAAGUGGGAAAAUAACAGUUUAUUUGGUCCCUCAAAUUUGUACUUUGACCAUCUUGAUCCUGCAAUCUUGUAUAUUAAAAUUAUGAGCACACCGAAUCUUGUUAAAUGCCGAUGAAAGUCAACAUAAUAUUUCUUUUUUUUUUCUCAGUUGAUGUAUAAAUUAGCUUAAGAAUUUUAUUAGCUUUGAAAAAAUAUUUAAUUUUUUUUGUUGCAUCAAACGGUGUGAUUGCAAAAAGAAUAGUCGGGUUUUCAUUAAAACAAAUUAAAUCCAUCAAACCCCUUUUUUCCAUUAAAACCAACCAUUGAUAAAAGUUGAUUAUGUUUAAUUUAAUAAUAUUUUCUUUAAAAAAAAAGAAAUACAUUUUUUUUUAUAGUAAACAAGUGAAUUAUAUAUUAAACAGCCCCAUCAAGUAGGUGGAACUGAACGAAAGAUAAAAUACAAUGGGAAUAUAAAAGAAUAGAGAAGACCAAAGCGACGAGGGAUCUAAUUAAUUAGUCCAGUUCAUAAUACAUUCAGGAUUUCUAAAAAGAUCUGAGCCUGUGUAGUUGAAAUUUCUAACUGAAGACUUCAACCAGAAGGCCAAACGGUGAAAGGUGAGAUCAAAAAUCAUAUCCCAAUCCGGAGGCUUGGAUUCGAAGAUUAGGCGGUUGCGCGCUAUCCAAAUUGACCAGUACAGACCUUUGCAGAGGAGGGUAAUAGCACGUCGCUGAAAUUUUCCAUUAAUCAAACCUGACCAUUCAUGUAGAUUUUGAUAUGGGUCUUUGUGCAGACAACCUGAGCACCCGAACCAGUUCAAGAAACGACCCCAAAGAGACCAUGUUAUAGGACACCAAUGGAAGAGAUGAUAAAUUGUCUCAGUUUCCUUGCAGCAGAAUGGGCAGUGAGAUUCCUCAUAAUUAAUGAUUCUCCUCUCAGCUAAAAAACUUUGUGUACUCAAACUUCCAUGAAGAAGAAGCCAUAUGAACACAUCCACUUUUGGAGGGGCAUAACCAUUCCAUAGCAAAACAGGGGAGUGAUUAUUUUCAGUGGCCGAUAGACUAUAAAAAAGAACUCAACCUGAUUGAGCUGAGUACAUGCCAGAGCUGUGAAAUUUCCAUAACUUGCGGUCUGCACCAUCCGAGAAAAUAAGGCCACGCUGCACCUCUGCGAUCAAGCUCUCCCUCAUGCAGUUUUCACGAGGCCGAAGGGGUCUUCUCCAGGAUAGGUUGAAAGAUGUAUCUGUCAAAUUAUAUAUAUCUGCAAGGCUGGAUUUUUGCUGCAGAGAGAGGUUAUACAGUCUGGGGAAUAAGAGUUGGAGAGUGGUUACAGAGCCAAGCCGAGUCAGUCCAAAACCGGAUGUUCCUCCCAUCACCCACCUUGAACCUGACAUUUGCAUGUAAAAGAUUGGCUAUGUUUUGUGUUGAGAGGAUCGCCGAAACAAUGCCAUGCCAAGUUGGAGAUAAAGAACCUGUAAACUCAGGGAUACCGUUAAUAAAGUGAGGUCGGUAUUUUAGAAGAAUGUGUUCUUGCCAGCCUCCUACCACUCCAUUAUCCAAAUUCCAUAGCUAUUUAAAUAGCAAAGCCAGAUUUUUGUUGUGGAUGGAUCCCAGCCCGAGACCACCAGAAGAUUUACUCUUUAUUACCUUGUGCCAAGCCACCUUAAAAAUGCCAUGAGAUGUUGAGGUUCCUUUCCAGAGAAAAGACCGGGUUAGAAAAGAGAUGACUUUAAUAAUACCCUUUGGCAUAGCAAAAACUGACAUGUAGAACAAAGGAAGAGAGCUUAAAACUGAUUUAAUUAGACAUAACCUUCCCGUCAUGCUCAAAAAAUUCCCUUUCCAUGUGCUUAGCUUUGCUCUGAUAGUGGACAACACUGGUUUCCAGGUAGAGAGUCUGCUGGGAUUGGCUCCAAGAGGUAGUCCAAGGUACCUGACCGGGAAAGUAUCACUACGACAGAAAACUGAGUUUGCCAGGCUAGAGGUGUAGUUGUUGUCCAAGUUGAUACCUAUUAGUGAGCUUUUAUAGAAAUUAACUUUCAAUCCGGAAAUGAUCUCAAACCAAUGAAGUAUCCUCUUGGCAUGUAGAAGAGAGGGAAAAUCAUUUGGCAGGAAAAUCAGAGAGUCAUCGGCAUAUUGCAAAUGAGUUAUGUAAUGUCCUGGAGCAGUCUGUAAGCCUUUGAAAUAACCUGAAGCGGAUGCCCUAUUGAAUAAAACUGUCAAUCCCUGAACUGCGAUGUCAAAUAGGAAAGGAGAGAGAGGGUCCCCUUGCCUGAGACCCCUCUCCAGACUAAAUUCUCUACUGGGGGAACCGUUUAUCAAGAUGGCUAAUUUAGAAGUGGAUAAACAUUCAAAGAUCAACUUCCUCCAGUGUGAGCCAAAACCCAUGUAUCCCAUGCUUGUGUCAAUAUGUUCCCACAAAAUUGAGUCAAAGGCUUUAUGGAAAUCUACCUUCAGUAAGAAGCCAUACUCCUUCUUGCUGCGCACACCAUGGACAACCUCAUUUGCUAUCAUGAACCCGUCUAAAAUCUGACGCCCAGCAAUGAAUGCAGACUGGUUAACACUGAUUACAUCUGUCAAGACACGUCUAAGUCUAGUGGACAGUAGCUUUGCCACUAUUUUAUAUAACCCAUGAAUCAAGCUUAUCGAACAAAAAUGUGAGAAUCUGCUCGGCCCCUUUGAUUUUGGAAUCAGAAUUAUAAAAGAAGAGCUAAUACCCUUUGGAAGUUUACCAGUUCUGAAAAAACUUUUAACCAACAUAAAAACCUCUGAGCUGAUCAUAUUCCAUACCUUUUUAUAGAAGGAGAAGGUGAAACCAUCGGGGCCAGGGGCUUUAGAACCAUCACAGUCCCACACAACUUGCUUAACUUCUUCCAUUGAAGGUGGUCUUUCUAGCUAAAUUGACUUUGCUUCUGAAAUUUUGGAGAACACCGAGCCUCCCAUUUCAAUUCCUUUACACGUUGGUUUCCGAAACAAGGAUGAGAAGAAGUUGACAGCGCCUUCUUUUAUAUCAUUUGAGGAGACUAGGUGACUACCAUUAUGAUCAAUCUUACUAAUGUAGUUGCGGCCUUUCCUUAGACUUGCUGAUAUGUGAAAAAAACGAGUGUUCUUAUCCCCAAUUUUACACCAGUUUUGACGAGAUUUUUGUCUCCAGAUAUCUUCAACCCUUCUGUUAACCUCCCAUAAAUCAGAGUUCAACCCCUGGAGCUUUGGUUUUUCAGUCUCAGACAAGGGACGCACUUCACUUAAGUUUUCAAGUGUUGUAAUGGAGUUCUGGAUGUCUGCAAGUUUUAGAUUCUGAUCCCUGAAAGUGGAUUUAUUCCAUUGUCUCAGCUUUUUUCCCAUGAUCCCCAGCUUCUUAAUCAGACUAAACUCACCUGGAAACUCCUUGCAGCUAUCAGACCAGAGGGCCUCAAAAUCUGUUAAGAAAGAAGGGUGCGACAGCCAGUAGUUUAUGAAACGGAACGGCUUCCACCCCCAGUCUACCUCAGGGCUCUGGAGGAGCAGCUGACAAUGAUCGGACAUCCCUCUAGGGUAGCGGCAAAGAGAUAGAGACGGGAACUGCAGCUGAAAUUCCGGGGAAGCAAAAGCUCUGUCAGUGCGGCUCAUAGACCCACCCCUAAACCAAGUGAACCGGUGCCCCUGCAUAUUGAAUUCAACCAGUUCACAGUCGGAUAUGAAUCUGUGGAAUGAAGUUGAACCUGAUAGAUUGAGGUUACCACUACUUCUCUCAUUAGCGUGUAGAGUUUCGUUGAAAUCGCUUAGCACCACCAGUGGUAGUUCAAAAGCAAACUUAAGAGUGGUGAUUUCUUCCCAUAGAUUAACACGUUCUUUCACUGAAUAUGCAGCGUAGACACUAACUAUCAUACAAUUAAAAGAAGAGGGAAUAUGCGUGCCACAUAGGCUGAUCCACUGCCCCCCAAAUUCUAUAGAGUUAACUUCAAAGACAGAGUUAUCCCACAUUGCUAUAAUUCCUCCUGAUUUCCCUACAGAUUCUAGAAAAGUCCAUUUGACAGUUGCAAUAUUCCACAGAUUUCUAAUAAAGGAGUCACAACAAUUAUUUUUCUUGGUUUCUAAAAGAAAACAGAUACCAACAUUAUUGUUUAUAAGCCUAUUCCGGAUGGAAUUUCGUUUGUGUGCCAUACCUAAACCACAGCUGUUCCAAGCAAAGAUAUUCAUAAAGAGAACAAAACCAAGGCAGACUACACUGAGCGGGGUAGAAAACUUACAACUGGUUAACUGAUGUCCACUCAUCUACUUCUCUUUCAAUGUUUCUCAUUAUUCCUUCUUCGUACCCUUUUAGUUCUUGCGGGUUUCCCAGACCUAGAGCCACAACAUCUUGUAUUAUUUCUUGAGUCUCCCUUUCACUGUCAAACCCAUUGUCUUGAUGCUUCAUACAUGUGAUUUGAAACCGAAUAUUUCCUUGUUGGAUUCCUAAGUUUAAGGAGUCUGAAGAAUCACAAUCCUCCAUCGUGUUAGCAACACUACCACUAGCUUGCAGCAACUUCAGUUUUCUUAUUUUGUGGCUAUUCCCAUUUGCGUUUUCAUUGGUCGCGUCUGCAGAGGUUUGUGGGCUGCUUUGAGGGUUCAACAGGGGUGGUAGAUGGAGAUGCUUGCCAUUGGUUUCAUCAUCCAUGGAGGCAUAGUUAUGGUUCUUUCCAACGCCGGAUGACUCGAUAACAGGGGAUGACAUGGUGCCUUGUAGAGGUGUGUUAUUUUGGGUGCUGGUUACCUUCAUUGCAAGAAGGUUGGGUGCUCCAUCAGAAAUAUGAGCUGCAAACGAUCUAACUUUCAUCAUAUUCUUCCUUUUGCUGAAUGAAGAUUUAGGUGCAAGCCCUCUAGUUCUUCUAAGCUUCUUAUCUUUUAUUUUUCCUUCCAACUCCAUUUCCACUACUUCUUGUGGUUCUGCCAGGUCACGUAUGAAUGCAGAGAAAGAUUGCUGAUGUGUAUUCUGGCUCUGAUUUUGGUCUAGUAUCAUGUGUCUCGUUAGUUUUGGGGUAGGCCUUAUAACCUGGGCUGAGGAGGCUUUAGUGUGUGUUUGUUUUUUAUCGAGGCCCACUCUUGAAAAGGAUACUGCUGAGUCAUCUGGGCUGCUGUAGCUGGUUUCUGCCACUUGUAUUUUUUCCCUAAUGGUGUCAUAGCAUGGCUCUAUAGAGGACGAUUGGGAUUGGUAAGAGGCGGUGUGUAGUUGUUGGUUUUUUGUCUGUAGCUUGUGUGUUUCCUUAGUUUCAGGAAAAAGGCAGAAGGUUUUGUAUGUUGUGUCAGAUUGGUCUAGGUUGCUGGGUAAUUCAGUGUACCUUGUGCAGAGAAUGAGAGAGGGGUCAUUUUGCAUGUCCUUGUCUUGUUGCUCUGGUGAGGUCCAGUCAGCUUCUGGUUCAUUUAUACUGGCCGACGAAAACUCUUCUGGAGGUGUAAUUUUACUGCAUGUCUCUUCAUCUGAUUCUUCAGUGCCUGAUGUAUCCAUUGAGUAUUUAAUUAUGGUAAGCAGGGGGCUAAAACCGGGCUUCAUUUCCAUGACUGAUAUAUCAAAUUCCUCUCCGUCUAGAAUCAUUGAAAGCUGCUUGUUUAAAGUCGUGAAAGAGGUUGUGCUCAGAAGCACCUUGACUCCCAUAAGUGAACCUUGACUCACACUUGUAAUGUCGUAACCAAUCAUCUUGCCUACACCUUCUACCAUGAAUUCAAUACAUCUGCGGUUCCAUGCAAUCAGAGGAAGUCCCAGAAUAGACACCCAAGCAAAUCUGUUUACUGCUUUUACUUCCCUCUUCCAUGGUUUGAUACUAGAGAAGUAGUUUGCCAAGGCAGAGCAACUGUUUAUUAAUUCUUUCUCCAUGGUCUCUUUGUCUGUAAAGGUGAUAACUGUUUGGCUUGCUCCAAGGAAGCGAAAUCCAAUUGCCUUCUUAACAGUUUUCAAAACCAUAUGCUCCAAUUGUGCAUAGUCCACUUCUAUGGCUAUAGAACCGACUAAACUUCUCAAUAGCCAUUCCUUGUCAUCCUGUGUAGACUCAUACACCACAGUCUUCUUUGAUGGUUGUUGGACUAAAAGAGCUUCAACAAAGGUCCUGUUGUCUCUAAGGGCUAGUUUGGGCGAGAUUUUGGUUUCUGGCUUUGUGGUGAGGGCUGUCUUUUCCCUGGAAUCUGAAGGUGUUUGAAAUCGUGCUAGGUUUGCACGAAUUUUGAAAGAGUCAAACCAUAUAAGGUUCAAUAUAUCACAAAGGUCUGUAGCUUCUAAAUGGGAGAAGAAAGUUACAAAACCAAACCGUCUCCCUAUUUUUGUUUUUUUCCUGGAAACAAAGAGGUUGGUGACAAGACUAAUCUUUGAAAAAGCUUUUUUGAGAUCUUGGUAAUCAAGCCAAGACGGGAAACGUUCAAAAUAAAACUUAGUAGAAACAGAGGGAGUGGGAGUUGUGUUAGGUAAGUGUUUGUUGUUUUGGCUGUUGUUUGUGUAACACAUAGGUUGCAAAAAUUUCAGGGUGGCAGGGUGAAGAGGGGGGUGUUGUGUAUGUUUAAGAGGGACGUUUGCAGGUGUUUGUGGGGUUGGAUUGUAAGAGGGAGGUUUGAAGGAGGUUACUAAGACCUGGGUUGCAGAGGAGGGGAUGAUAGACAAAAGGGGGAGUGUUUUGGUUGGGAGCAUCGUUGCAGGGGAGGGGAUGAUAGACAGAUAUGACUACAGCAGCUUCAAAAUGGACUCGGAACAGUGCUGGAAUUUCUGGUCGUCGCCGAUAAUGUGAAAAAUAAGGGGAUCGGAUAGAUCUCCUCCUUUCUUCCUUUCCUGUGCCAGCUGUGUCAUCGAUGGAGACCUGAAAAAGAAAAGACGCAGCAACAAGUUUUGGUUUCCUUUCCUUCUCGUUUUUUGAUCUGCUCCUCUCCCUACUGAUUUGUAUGUUUUUGUUUUCUACUUCUCUGUUUCAGGUAGCCAGUGGGAAGACCAAGAGGCCGCUGUCGGGACUGGUUUUUUGCUAGGUCGGGUCGCGGUGGAGGGAAGAAUGGUUGAACUGCUGGUGAUAUUUUUGGUCGUGGCUGAGAGAGGAAGAGGCUAUGGUCAAUGGUUUCAGGUUGGAAGUGGAGGAGGAGCUAGAAGAACAAGGCGGACAGAUCCGGGGUUUAUGAGGAAGUGGUGGCCGGAUAUCGAAUUCUUCUUAUCUCAUCUAUGCCAGUAGUUGUUGGAUCUUGAGGAGGAGGAACUUGAUCUUGCUUCUGUGAGCAGGCAUGAAACAAAAUUUAUCUCACCUUUAUGCAUCUUGAGGAAACGAGGAGGGAGAAGACAUCGUCCGGCCAGAGCUAAAAGAAAUACAUUCUUUUCUCAUCAAUCACUCCGUAUUAUUCUUUUUUAUAUUUAUAAAAACAGAAAAAGGGAUAAAUUGGGGGAAUGAAAUGAAAUGAAAGGGAUUGGGUUAUAAAUAAAUUAAAAAUAUAUUUAAAAAAUAAUUUUUAAAUCACCACAUUAAAAUUAUUAAAAAAUAUCUAAAAAAUAUUAAUUUAAUAUUUUUAAUGCGAAAAUCAUUUUGAAACAAUGCCAAAUAUAUGUUAGAGAAUAAUAUAAAUCAUAUUGUGAGACCUUAACUAACAACUUAAGCUAUUGGGUUGAUAUGAUUCUUUGACAUGGUAUCAGAGCUUUAAUGACCAAGCGGUCACGAGUUCAAAUCUCAUUAUUCCUAUUUAUUUGAUAAAAAUUAAGCACAAGAUAAUGUGGGUAUGUGCAAGUUUCAAGUUUAAAAGGCUUUAACUUAAAGGGAUGUCUUAGAGAAUAAUAUAAAUCUUAUCGUGGGACCCUUACCUAACAGUUUAAGCUAUUGGGUUGAAAUGAUUUUUUGACACUUAACUAGAAGAUACAUUUUAAAAUAAAUUAAAAUACAAGAAAGGUGAAAUCUAAAAUUGAAAGUACAUGAAUUAAGUCUUAAAUGACCUAGAAUUCAGAAGAAGAAAAAAAGGCCAAUUAACCUUGUAAAUAAUAUUAACAUAUUGUUCUUUAUGCUUUUAUAUUAAUAGAAUCUAAAAUACUGUGAUAAUUAAAUUUAUUUAUACCUAAGUAAUAUUGAAAAUAUUUUUAUAUUGUUAAAGUUAGUGCUAUUAUUAUGAUUAUAAUAACAAUUAUAAUUACCCUAUUCACAAAAACAAUAUUAUUAUCAUAGUAAAAAAAUACAUUUAAAAUGACUAGUACGAUAGUUUUAACCCCAUACUCAAAUUAAAUAUUAUCUAAAUAAAAAGCUACUUAUUUAUUUAUUAAUUAUUGUUUUAUAUUAAAAUAAACUAUAAAAAUUACACAAUCUAAACAUUUUAAGAGACAUUAUAAAGUUCUAUUGAUUUAAAAUAAUUAAUAAACUACACUUUUAAUGCAAAUCAUGCAAAUCAUGUUUUAUUUUUAAAAGUUGAUUUCAUCAGUAAACAAGUUUUUUCUUCUUUUUAAUACACACAUGACAUUACCAUAUUAAUUAUCUACAUAAAAAUACUACAAAUACAAAAUUCUCUUAUUUUUAUUGCACUGGUUCACAGAAGUGAAUUGGGUGUGCUUGUUAGGUGUAAUAAAAGUAAGUGUACAAAAUUUAAAUGCAUGCCACAGAAGUCAAAAAUAAAGAAAUAAAAUUAUUUCCUAUGGCUUUGGUUUGUCAAAUAGGUAGAAGAUUAGAUUUUUAACCUUUAAAAAAAAAUGCAACACUUUUAACCUUUAAAAAAUGCACAGAUAUUAGAAAGUAAAAACAUUAAUGUAUAUUGCAUGAAACACUUUUAAAAUUUUAAGAUGAUGAUAUAUUGAACAAUAUCUUUAUUUAAAAAAAAAUAUUAAGAAGGCAACACACCGGAUCGACCCGAACUAACCAUAUCGUGUUUAUAUCUAAACAAUUAAUAUAAUCUAAUUAUAAACAAAAUUUCUAUUAAAAAAAACUAAAUUUAACAAAGAAAUGACAAAUAAAAAUACCCGAGAUAAUCUGAUUCAUUUUUAAAAUUAGUAAAAAAUCCUAUAGAAAAUAAAUAAAAAAUAAUAGAGCUUAAUCUUCAAUUCAAUAAAAUAUUAAAGGAUGAAACUAAACAAAAUAUUAGAAAUAAAAACAUUAACGCCGAUCUAUUCAAUGCUGGAAUCAAGUCUGCUAUUAAUGUGGGUAUUUCAGUCUCCAGAGUAAGAUCCGCAGAUCUGCCUCCUAGCAUUGAUAGUAAUUGAUCGAAUUCUUACUCUGGUUUGAGAAGCUUUUCAGUUUCCCUUAUCUCUCGUGUGAACUACCAUGAAAAAAGAAAUAAAAUAAAAAUAAACUCGGGUAAAUUUUCUAAACCUAGGUUAACCUUUAAAAUUCACAAUCUAUUAAAUCUAGGACUCGAACUCAAACAAGAAACCCAAUUCAGUCCUAAGGAUGAAAUAAAACAAAAACAUCAAUUUAGAAAAUUUACCAAACAAAAAAAUAGCAAUAAAAAAUGACGGAGAAUGAAAUUAUAAAAAAAAAUCAAUUUUAAAACUAAUCUCAAAUAAAAUAAAUAUAAAUCAAAAUAAUGGGGAUCAAAACAAACAAAUUAAAACAACAAAUGAGGAUGCAAUUGAAUACAUAUUUCAAUUCUAUACAAUAAUUCAAAUAAAAAAAAUCAAUCGAAAGAACAAAAACCAAAUUUGAAGAAAACACAAAUUCAAUGGCUGCUGUGAAAUUUUGAAAGGUUAGGCAUAAAAAUCAAGGAGGGGAGAGAAAGGAAAAAAAAACCAACUGACAUCAAAUUGGAGGGAAUUACGCCACACACACCUUCUAGAAAGUUUAACCCUACCGUGAUGAAUCAAAAAACACCAAGGAAGCCUUUUUUGAUCGCCGUAAGCCACCACACUCAUCACUUCAACAUGGCAGAGUGACUUACUCGUUUGCACAUUUAAUGCACGUACCAGCCACUUUUUUUCUUUACAUUUAUUAAAAUACCAAAUUGUCUCUUAAACCACAUGAUACUAAUAAAAAAAUGAAACCAAAAUGAAAGUAUAAAUAAGCCUUUGCAGACAAGGUAAGAAAAUUUUGAUUCAAAGGGUAAUACAGUUAUUUUAUUGUUUUUUGAAAAGUGAAAUUUUGAAAAAGCCCAUUAACACAAUUAAAGUAAUUUUUUUGCUUUCAAUGGAAACUAAAUAAUUAUAUUUUCCAAAAAGAAUUAAAAAGACCUAAUGAUUCCAAUCAAUUUCAUAAUGUCUAAUGGACAAGUAAAAAAACAAUAACAACCCCGAGUGCAGGGCCAUUGAGUUUUCUUUUAAAGGGAAAAAAACAUUAUUUUGUUGUUCCAAUCCACAAUAAAUCACACCUUAUCUAUGAUACUCUUUCCACAUCCUUUAAGUUUUUGUUAAUAUUUAAGAGUAAGGAAAAAAAAUGUUUUCUCUCUCAUUUCCUUUAGUAAUCAACUAUGUCCUUGGCUUGCACUACACCACGGGUUGGAUUAUUCUUUCCAACCGUAAAAAAAAUAUAAAGACAUUAGUAAUGUGUUUUCUUGUAUAAAAUAAUCAACCAUGAACCUAAAAUCUGAUGCAUGUUGGACAACACACUUUUAAAAUAUUGAAAUGGUCAGAUAUUGCUUGAAAUAUUUUUUUAAGAAAAAUAUUAAAAGGAUAACAUAUUUGAUCGACUAAUAUCAAUCUUUGUUAGCUUGAAAAUACUUCCGACCUAUGUCAUGGAUCGUGAUAAACCUAUAAUAAUCAGAUAAAAAAAAUAGAAAGCCCAAUUCCAAUCAACCAAAUAUUGAAGAAUAAAAAUUAAAAAAAAAUGAUUUAAAAAAAAACAUAAAAAAGCGAUUUGAGUAAAUCUAGGUACAUAUGUCAAAUCCACGACCCGAGUCAUGAGAAUGACAUUACUUUAUAAAAAACAAAUAAAAAAUACAAAAGCUAGUUCUUAACCAAUUCAUCAUCAACAAAAAAACUAUUUUUUAAAAAAAAAGCAACGAAAACAACAACUUGGGUUAACCCCCAAACCCGCGACAUAGAUCAUGAGACCGAAAUAACUUCACAUAAAAUAAUCUAAAAAAAAGAUUACUUUUUUUAAAAAAACUUAAGCUAUAAAAAGAUUUAUCCCAUCAAAAACUAAAAAAUAAAAUUUAUUGGUGUAUAAUUUAAAAGAAAAUUCUUCAAUUUUAUUUAAAAGAAGUUUUCAUAAAACAAUUAAAGGAAAGCCUUUAAAAAAAAAACCUAGGAGUCAAAUGUGCUUGUAUGGGCAAGCUUGUAUGCCUACCUAUUUUUUUUUUAUUACUAGAUCAUGAGACCGCAACAUAGAUCAUGAGACCACGACAUAGAUCUUUAUAAAUUACUAGACAAAGCGUUGUCUCUAGUUCGGUUUCUGGCCACUUCUAGUGCCCAGAAAGUUGAGUUCCAUGUUUUAGCCUAAACCAUUUUUUAACUUUGUUUUUUACCCAAAAAGCAUUUGUCACCUAAAUAGACCCAUUUGUGGCUUAAAUUAGUAAAAAAUGUGUUUAAAAAUAAAAAAUCAACUUUUCGAGCCUAGAUCUACCAUUUCAUGUAAGAUGAAAGCCAAAUAAGACUCCAUUAAAACUCUUUUCAUCAAAAGAAACUCGUUGACACCAAAAUCGACUAUUUUAGUAGCUAAAAUCAAUAUCAGCUGAUAGUUUUCUCUUGCCUCAAUAAAAAUCUGACAACUCCUCUCAUCUCUCUAAACACAAGACUUAAAAGUAAGAAAAAUAGACUUUGAGAACAAAAGUAAAUUUAUGAAAACUAAAGGGAUUGAAAGCGUUUAAUUGAAAAAUAUAAGGACCAAACUUAACUUUUCAUGUCAGCUUUGAAAGUGCCAUCUAAUUUCUAUGUCGUUGUCACUUUAAUUCAUCACCUUUCAGAGUUGUCCUUUCUUUCUUAAUGAAUUAGAAGCAAUUAGUCAUCAAUUUUGAUAACCAAAAAAUUAUUUUAAUCCAUAAUGAAUUGUAAGAGGUUGCAUGGUUUGUUCAACUCAGUGAAAACAUCACAAUGUGUCUCUUUGUAAUUUUCAGGGGAAUCUUUGAACCAACAAUAUCUAAUUUAUUUUGCACAUAAUGCAUAGCGAUAAUGUACCAUAUAUCAUCUCUUGGUAGCUCCAUAAACAUUCAACUCAAUCCAUAACAAGUUAUUUAUAAAAUCUAGAAAAUUUAUUUUAAAAAAUAUGUAUUAAUAGAGAAUACAACAUUAGAUAAAUAGGAAUGAAAAGGCCUACCUCUUUUGCAUAUAAAAAUGAAAUGGUGACCUCAUAGACUUUUGAAAAUCUUUUUCCCUUAUUCACUUUUGGGUUAUGUUAUUUGCAUUAAGGUAUAUAAAUACAUGUAUAUCAUAUGAUUACCGAAACUGACUAAAGGUUUGAGUCCUGUAUUAACUCAUGACUUACCGGGUUAAUUUAAUUUAAUUAUGAAAUAAUGUUUUUUGGAUAAAAACAAUUUAAAAAAAUUAUUUAGAAUUGACAUGACCUAGUAAAUCUAGUUGUAGAUUGGCUUGCUAGGUUACUCGAGUUUGACUAUAGUAAUGUUCAAAAAAGUUUAAAAGGAAAGCCUUUCAAGGCCAAGCUCCGAAUCGACAUAUCAUCGAAUCGACCUGUUAGGCUAGGCUUAUUGUGUUCGAGAAUAAUAUAAAUCAUAUUUUGGGAUCGUAUAUAAUUAUUUAAACUUUUGAACCUUGUUAACCAAGUGAUCAUGAGUUUAGAUUUUGAUAUUUCAUUUACCAAUUUAAAUGUUUGGAUUGAUAUCAUAAUUUAAGAUAUUAACAAUGGAAUAUCCAUGAGCAAAGAAAGUUUGACAAAAAAUUAUAGACUUUGUAUGUAAAUCUCUCCAACAAAUUCUAGAUCAUGCGCUCAAUUUAUACGCAAACCAUGCCAUAUAUGCUAUAUAUAAAUGAAGUUACAGCAAAAGGGGGGAGUUGAAGCGUUCAAAGUUCAAAAUGAAGUAUCGGUGCAAUUCUGCUUAGACAAUUAAAGAUACAUAAGCAUAGAUUAAGAAAAUUCGGACAUAAAUCAGAACAAUAUUUUACUUUGAUAGGAACUCAUAUUUGAUGAUUUAGAUUCUAAUUCAUUAACAUUGUUUGAGCAAAGUAAAAAAAAUAUGUUUAUUCAGCAGUAGCACUUACAACACUCAAGUCCACAGAGAGAUCAAAAGUUUGUAUCAAAACAAAAACCAGAUUGUAAGUUGAUUGCUGCAUAGAAGCAAGGUUUAUACAUCUGAAAAUAACCUAAAUUAUUACUUUGUAUCUUAAUAUCUUUAAUUAUAGUUUUUGCAUAGGUUGGUCAAGACCAAGAGGGUGUUUGAAAGUGUGGCAGCGGUUGCUUUUCAAAGUAUUUUUCACUCGGAAAUGCUUCAAAAUAAUAUUUAUUAUUUUUUAAAAAUAAUUUUUGAUAUCAGCACAUCAAAAAAAUAAAAAAACAUUUAAAAAUUUUAAGAAACAAAUUUCAAAUUUUACCCAAUCUCAUUUGAAACGCAAUACCAAAAGGGGCUAAAGUGAUCUAUACUAAAGGACCAGCCCAGUUCUAGAUUGUCUAUAUUUUUCAGCUAUGAAAAUAGUAUGUCAAUACAAUUCUCUCUCUCUUUCUAAACCAUUUUAAUCUUCAUGCCAUGUAUUUACCUUGCUAAUUGUUCCUCAAUCUUAAUGCUAAGCAUUGAUCUUGGUAAUUGUUCAUCAAGGAAAAUUGCAAUUAUUUAAGCACAAAGACUCUUAAUAUUGUCAAAUACAUAUCUCGACCAAAAUUAAAAAAAAAAUAUUGUUCUCUAUAAUUCAACUCAAGAAUUCUAAGACACUUACCUUUCCAGUUAUCUUACUGUACAUGGCAAUCACAUCUUGUACUGUGGUCUCAAAGUGAGUCGUUGUGUCAUAGCUCUGCAAAGAUCAUAUUAAGAUCUUAAUCAAUAUUGUUGAAUUAUUUAGGGAAAAGGUGGAAUUUAGAAAGCUAGACCACAAGCUUGUUAGUAGAGUUACAGGGAGACUUGAAAAAGGUUUCCCUUUUGAGCUACUCUAUAAGAAUCUAUAAUUGCUAUGUAGAUGAAAACUCCAGUCAAUCUUAUCACAAGGGUAAGAAAAUACAUGUAUAAAUGGCAUGUAGACUUAUAACUUACAGUAUAAAUGAAGCAAUUGUCAUCUUCCUCAUUGUUUGCAGGCACAUAUUUGUCUUAAAUAUCAUAGAAAAUCUUAUUUACUAGACUAAGCAAGUCAAUUCCUAGCUUCAGUUCCGUCUCAGGGUUAUCUAUCUCAGUUUCAGUUGAAACAAAAGUAAUGUAUUUCCUUUUUGGAGCAACAUUGUGAGCAUAUGAACAACAGAAGAGGUACCUGGAGAAGCAAUGUGAAAGUUUACAAACAAAUCUUCAAAUAUAUCCAGAAUUGAAUAUAUCAAGACCACAAAUUUUAACCAUUUCUUUUCUAUCCAUCUUAAUAAUGCAUUUAAAAACAUGCAGUUGAUCAAAGGGCAUUGUAAUAUGCAUUUGAAGGCUUAUAUGAGAGCCUUUAGGGUUUUAUCUGCACAAAUAAAAGUAAACGUAAAUGUCUGAUUUGCAUCAAAGUUACUUCUGUGGCAGAAUAACUUGCGCAGAGUGAGAAUCACUAGUGUCAGGAAUAGGAUGGCUCAUUAUACAAAUAGCAUGAGCAACCAUUCCAACUUUCUUCACAUAUGGCAUUACAACAAUGACAGAUAAAAGGUGAUUAACAUAGUUAAUGCCCAUUUUAGCAAACGAAUACAGUGAAGCAAGAGACUGAUCUCGAAAUUGUUUAAUGCUACCUUGUUUGGCAAAUAGGAUGAGUUACAAACAACUUUCUUGCAUCUAGUAGUUUCUCCUUCAGAAAUCACGCCAAUGACUUUUCUAUUUUUAUCGAACUCUAUCUGUUAAUAUAUAACAAGACUUAUGAGAAUCAAGUAGUUUGACAACAGAGAGCAAGCAACAUAUCAAGAAUCACAGAUUCAUAUGCUAAAGAAGAAGUUAUGGAUACAAGUUGUUAUCGCAAUUUUACCUUAUAUUCUGGCUUGUUGAGUAUGUAAGUGCCACCAUAUAUUGCACUUAAGCGUGCAAAUGACUGACAAAAUACCAAGACAUAUUAGAGCAACUUAUAUUCACCCCUUAACUCUGUAAAAACACCAUGGACUUAAACAAACCUGAGGUAAUUCUACCAGUCCAUAGAGUGGAUAGAUAUAAGGUGAUCCUCCUUGGAAACGCGCGAAUGACUCUGCAUAAAGCUUUACGGAAAAAACAACAGAAUAACUUUAAAAUUACUUUUUUUUUUAACCAUCAAAGACAAUAAGAGAACAAGAUUUCAAUAAAUUGCAAGUGCACCUUCACUCUCUUCACAAAAUCCAAAGCUGGCUAAUCCAAGUAAUUAUCAUCAAGAUGAAGAGCUAGUGCAUGGCCGAUAAAGUUAAUCAUAUCAUUUUUUAGACCAUAUUUUCUACAUGAAACAUGAUUAACAAGCAUUAAUCUAAUAGUUAAAAUUUGAUCAGCUAGCUCUCAAGAACACAAAAUAUACAUUAAGGUGAAUGAAUUCAUUCAAGUGUUUAAUCAAUAGAUGAUGUGAUCUUAAACUAGACUGAAAUUUCUAUAAAUUAAAGAGAAAUGUUAAUCAAACAUAUACGCGAUAACCUCUCUUGCUGUAACUUUGGUCAAGUCCAGACCCUCAUAAGACUUGGGAUCAUUGUCCUCGUAAUCUUGGACAUAAAUGAAAAACUUUCGAGCACGACAUUUCUCAAACAAUCCCAUCAAUGGCAAUUUUAGUGCUUCUAUAUCAGUUGCUGGAACUUUAUGGAUCUGAAAAUCAAAAUUAAUUCUUUUAUUUUUUCACUAAACAAUAAUAUUUUUUGUUCUAGAUUUUAUAUUACGCAAAUGUGCUCUACCUUCCCUUUAUUGUACACAAAAGUACCAUUAACAGACUUAAAAUUGAGACACUUGGUAACAUAUGUGUGUAUCAGAACACGAACCAAACCAUCAUUGACGAUAAUAAACUAGAAUAACAAAUUAAAAAAAAAACAAUGUAAACACUUAAUGCAUGUUAUCAGUUAACAACGAGAUCAUAAAAUUCCAUACAAACUACCUUAGGUAUCAUGUCAAUAUUGUACUCCUUACUUGCACCUAGGCUCUCUGGAGGCUGGUUACUCCCUUUGAAACACUUCCAUAACUACAAUCAUGAAAAGGGUUAGGGAAAAAACCAAAUAAAAUUUUUGAAAAGAUAGUAGACAAGAAAAUCGAAAGUAUUUUACAACAUGAACAUAAGAGAAUACCUGAUUAAGAUUAAGAGAUGUUGAUUCUCCUUCAUAAUAGUCAUUACGGUCCAUAUGCAGUACCUGUAUCAAACGAAGAUUCAAUUGGAUUAUUAAAGAAAAAUCAAAAUAUUAAUUCAAACUAAAUUAUAUAGAUAACUUAAGGAAAAACACAUGCUUUUUUCAAACCCCAAGACUCCCAAAAUCUAAUGUGUUUCAACGUUCAUCGAUGGAGAGUACAAUGAGAACAAUUGACAACCCUUUAUACCUUCAAAUAUUAGAGAAUAAUUUUAUAAAUUAUAAAUAGAACACCCACACAUUUAACUAUUGAUACAUUUCCAUCAAAUCUAAAUUAUAAACAUGAAAUGCAAGAACAAAAACAAAGAAAAAGACCAAAAAAAAUCACACAAAAAAUAGAUAUUUCCUGAUUAUGUGGCAUCACAAAUAAAAAAAAACUUCAUAAAUUCAAAAGAUGAGAUCAAUUUAAAAAAUAUCAAAACACAUUGUUUUUUUUUCAUCCUCAUAAUUCAUAAAUUCUGAAGCUAUAAAUAGUAGAGUAUUUCUUGUUCUUCAGCCUAUUGAAAACAGAAUUCAAUCCCAAAUUCAUAUUUGUCAAUAGUAACUACACAUUACUUCAAAUGCAAGAUAUUGAUUUUAUCACAAAGAUAAAAAAAUUACUUAGCAUCCAAAUGUUACUAGCCAUAACCUUAAAACAUCAGUGUUAUGCGCUUAUAAUAACAAAGAUAUUUUUUUUUAAAAAAAAAAGAGAAUUACUUUGAGUCCAUCAACAACAAAAAAAAGACCACUGAGAAUGCAUUCUUUGAGACCGGUUCCUAGAACAAUCACAUCAUACUCUUCAUCCAUGGUAACAAAAUCCAACUUAGAAACAAACCCUUUUGAAGAUUUGAUAGAUACAAGGAAGGAAUGAAGAGAUUUUUUUUUUUUUUUACAAAAUAAGGAGAAAUAUUGGAGAUAAUGAAAAGAGAAAAGUCAAGUUUUCUAUAAAUAUUUUUGUUUGUUUGAUUUAGAGCAAGUCUUUAGUGGGAAUCAACAACAAUAACGCACAAAGAAACAUUAAACGGGUGAUUACCAAAAACCAGGGAAUCGUUAGGAAAUGUACGUUACCAUGUGCCAACAUGCAUUUCUAGACAUUAUAUUUUCUUUUAACCUAAUUUAACGUGGGAUGUUAAUCUCUCUAGUUUGCAGGAAAAACAAUAUUUUUUUAGUGUUUUCUCUUUUAAUAUUUUAUUUCAAGAGAUUUUACGGUGCUCAAGCAUGACAUCAUAUUAGUAACUCAAUGAAAUUCAUUUUGAAGAAAAACACAAACACAAGGGGGGAGAUAAAAACACAAACACGGGGGGGGGGGGAGAAAAAUUCAUAGCUCACUAAAAGUGAUAAGAUGAUCAUAUUAGUUAUUCAGAUACAAGUAGGAGAGAGAAAUAAUAUAUGGAGAUAUUUUUAUUAUUUUUUAUGGAUCAUAAAUUUUAUUUUAUCUCCCACAUGUGCUAGUCUUUUUCUUCAAAGAAUGUUUCAUUGAAUAACUACUACUAGAAUACCACUAAUUACAACCUGAGCACAAUAAAAUUUUAAAUUUUAUGUUUUGUAUACUAGCUUAUCUCUAUGAAAUUUUGUUUUACCCAAAUAAAUUUUACUUUGAAAACCUAAAUCAAGAUCAUUGCAUAAAAAAAUGAAAACUCAAGUUUUUAAUUAAAUUUUUCGCUAAAAGACAAGUUGAAUUGUUGUGGAAAAGAAUUUUUUUGGGACAAUAAAUAAUUCUUUAUUUUUUUAUGGAUUGAAUUUUGUAGUGAUUUGAAUUGUGAUAAAGGUUCUUAAUGCUACAAUCAACAUUUUGUGAAAUUAUAUGCUUAUGAAUUUAUUAUGAACAAUAAACCGACUUUUUGAGCAGUGAUGGAGGAGAUCAAAACGUAGAUUUGGAGUUGAAACUUUCUCCACCAGCAACAUAACCAGUGAUGGAAGGUUUCUAAGUGGGGGAAAAAAAUAGAGAGAAAUAAAUGAAAAAGAAUAAAAAUUAAAAAUAAAUAAUUUUGAAGCGCAUGAUUUGUACGUAACGGGAUUGUGAGUUUUUUUAUUGCACGGCUUUUGAUAGGAGAAGACUAGUUUUUAGCAGGUUGACUAAUGAAAAGCUCUUUUUUUUUUUUCGAUCUGGGUAAAUUUCUUUAUUUUUUAGCAGGUUCACAGAAUAAAUUUCUUUAUUUUUAUCUGGAUGAACUUAGGGGUAAUUACAAAACACUCUUGUAGAGAAAAAUAUAUUAAAAAAAUUAUUAAAAUAUUUUUUAUCAAUAAAACCUUGAAAAAAUUUACAAAAUUAACAUUUGAACUUUUUAAUAUUAAGCCCUGUUUGUUUGCUGGAAAGUAGUUUUCUUUUGAAAAGUGAAUUCCGGGAAAGUGAAUUAUUUUCCGAUGUUUGGUAGUGUAAUGGAAAACACUUUCCAGUCUUUGGUUAUAUCAUGAAAAAUGAACUGAAAAAUAACUUAUUAAUGUUUUAUUUUCUUCAAGUUUAUUAAAAUAAUGACAAACAAAUCUUACAAAUUAAAAAGUUGAAUGAGAAUGAAAUUGAAAAAAAAAUAAUUUCAUAAAUUAUCUUAAAUAAAAUAAAUAAUAAUCAAAAUAAUAGAGAUCAAAUCUAAAAAAUAAAAAAAUUAAAAGAUGAAGAAAUUAAAAUAAUAAUAAUUAACAUUUCAUAAAUUAUUUCAAAUAAAAUAAGUAACAAUCAUAAGAAUGAGGACCAAAUUUGAUGGAUAAAAAAUUUCAAUUAAAAAAUGAUAAGGGAAAAGUAAAUAAUAAUUAUAAAAAUUAAAUUCUAAGGGAUGAAAUUGAAAAACAAAUAUUCAAAACAAAAUAUAUAUAGCAAUCAAAAGUUUAAGGACCAAAUUUGAUAUAAUCAACAAAUAAUAUGACAUAUCUAAAUUUUUCACAACUUCCAAAAAGUGUUUUCCGCCUAAAAUAAAAGGAAAACACUUUCCUGGAAACCGAGCCAAAUUUUUCUUUGACUAAUGACAAACAAACACAUGAAAGUUUGAAAAGUGGUUUUUCAAAAACCAGUUUCCGAGAAACAAACACAACUUUCCGAGAAACAAACACAACAUAAAUCUUUAUUAAUGGAAAAGUGGCUUCAUUUUCAAAAUCUCAUAAAAUUGAAGUGGAAAAGGUUUAAUUUCAAAAUAUAAAAAUAUAAAAUAAAUAAAUUCAUCUUGAACAAAUUAAUACCCCUAAGGUUUUGCUCAAAGUCCUUGCAAUCAAAAAAAGAUUAAAAAAAAUAGAAAAUAUUUUUCAAUAAAAGCAUAAACAAACCCAUUAUAGAGUUGAAUUUACAAAUCAUAUGCUUUUAAAUAUGAGUACACAUUAAAAGUGCAGCCUUUAAUUUAUAGAGUACACAUUAUAGAGUUGAUAUAGAGAUUUGUGUAGUUACUAUUGACAAAUAUAAACUUGGUUUUUAAUAAUCACCCGUUUAAUGUUUCUUUAUGCGUUAUUAUUGUUGAUUCCCACUACAGACUUGCUCUAAAUCAAACAAACAAAUAUAUUUAUAAAAAACUUGACCUUUCUUUUUUCAUUAUCUCCAAUAUUUCUCCUUAAUUUGUAAAAAAAAUAAUAAUAAUCUCUUCAUUCCUUCCUCGUAUCUAUCAAAUCUUCAAAAGGGUUUGUUUCUAAGUUGGAUUUUGUUACCAUGGAUGAAGAGUAUGAUGUGACUAUUCCAGGAACCGGUCUCAAGGAAUGCAUUCUCAGUAUAACACUAAUGUUCUUUAUUCUCCUCAUCAUCACCUUUAGCAGUUAAAGAUUAUCUUCUGCUUGCUUUCAAAAUAGGGCAUAAAUGCAAAGAAUCUCACUGAUAAAAAGUCUUGUGGAUGCAUAUUCCUGUCCUCUCCCCCACUGAAAUUGAAAUAAAAUUAAGCAAGACAUGGCAUGGCAGCUUCAACUCAAGCUAAAUUCGUAUAUAUUACUACAUGUUUCAACAGCUCCACCUCAUUUCCUUUACCUUAAGGAAAUAUGGGAACCCUUGAUUCAUAAAUGCAUAUAUACACAACCACACAUGAUCUGUAUCUUAAACCCUGUGAAUUUCCUGAAUCAACAAGCAAAUAUUAACCACGUACAAGCCAAGAUGAAGGUUUUAUUUGAAAAAUAUAACGACUGCAAAUCCAUUAAAUUUUGUUGGAAAAUCCUCCAUCUUUCGGAUUCAAUCAGGAAAAGGUAACCUGCAAGACAAUUUCGGAGUUGCAUUCAGACUCCUGGUUAAUUUCCU